GGUGUUCACCAAAAACUACAUAAUAACAGAUUUUUGUCACUCGACCAUUUCAGAAUCCAGGAACGAGCCUCAUGAUAUUGAAACGAAGAUCACGAGAAAAGACACAGACCUCCGCCACUACCCUUACUCAGCAGGAACGAACCUUUCAACUGACAAAACAAAAUGUGAACCCUUUGUAAACCUUUUUAGGCAGCUGUGAAUAAAUCCAGGAACGAGCCUCAUGAUAUUGAAACGAAAAUCACGAGAAAAGACACAGACCUCCGCCACUGUGAGAUACUGCUGUAACCAAACAUUUCAAGCUAUCUUAAUGAACAAUUUCACUAGU